CAUAACGCAAUCAGUGGAUGCCUUGGCAAUAAGAGCCGAUGAAGGACGUUUCAAGCCUGCGAAAGUCGUCGGGUAGGUGGCAAGAACUGUUAAUCCGACGGUGUCCGAAUGGGGUAACCCACUCUAGGUUAUACUAGAGUACUCGCUUUGGCGAGUGGGAACCUGGGGAACUGAAAUAUCUUAGUACCCAGAGGAAAAGAAAUCGAACGAGAGCUCCUUAGUAAGCGACGAGCGAAAAGGGGUGAGUCUAAACCUGAUAUUUAUAUUAGGGGUUGCAGGACUGACAAUAUUUGUUUUACGAAGUAGCAGAACAUUUUGGAAUAAAUGACCAUAGAAAGUGAAAGUCUCGUAUGCAAAACAGAAGUAAAACAAUAGUUAGAUUCCUAAGUAGGUCUGGAGACGGCAAACUCUAGAUUGAAUCUGGGCCGACCACGGUCCAAGACUAAUUACUCUUAUUGACCGAUAGUGAACUAGUACCGUGAGGGAAAGGUGAAAUAGUAGGGUUGGUAGCCCGUUUAAAAGUACCUGAAACUGAUUGCUAACAAGCAGUCAAAGUCUUUAAUUUAUUAAGGAUAAUGGCGUGCCUAUUGAAGAAUGAGCCGGCGAGUUAUUCCAUACAGCAAGAUUAAACUAGUUUCUAGUGAAGUCGAAGGAAAACCGAGUCCUAACAGGGCGUCAAGUUGUGUGGUAUAAACCCGAAACCGAGUGAGCUAACCAUGAGCAGGGUGAAGCUAGAUUAAUUUCUAGUGGAGGCCCGCACCGUUGUCAGUCGCAAAUGGCUCGGAUGACUUGUGGUUAGAGGUAAUAUGCCAAACGAACUCGGAAAUAGCUGGUUCUCCCCGAAACACGUCUAGGCGUGGGCUUAUGUUAAAAAACAGGGGGGUAAAGCACUGAAUGGAUUUAAGGGGUAAAACCUUUACUUCCAAUCAAACUCAGAAUACCCUGUUUUAUUGCAUGGGACUCAGUGUCUGGGGGCUAAGCUCCAGAGGCGAAAGGGAAACAUCCCAGAUCUUCAGGUAAGGUCUCUAAAUAUAUAUUAAGUGGAAAAGGAUGCAUCAUCUCUCAAACACCUAGGAGGUCGGCUUAGAAGCAGCCAUCCUUGAAAGAAAGCGUAACAGCUCACUAGCCGAGAGAUAUGUGACCGAAGAUGUAACGAGGCUAAAAUAUAUUACCGAACCUAAGAAUUUAUGUACUUUGUAUGUAAGUGGUAGGGGAGCGUUCUUGUAACAUUGAAGGCAAAUUGUAAAGUUUGUUGGAGUGACAAGAAGUGAGAAUGCCGGCAUGAGUAACGAGAUGGAAGUGAGAAUCUUCCACACCGAAUACCCGAGGUUUCCAACGCCAUGUUUGUCAGCGUUGGGUUAGGCGACCCUAAGGUGAGGCCAAAAGGCGUAACCGAUGGAUAACCGGUUAAUAUUCCGGUCCUUAUCUGGUUUUGUUUUAAGUUGGGGCGGGACGAAGUUGGAUAAUUCGAGCAGUGUGUUGAAUAUACAUUGUUUAAGCAGUAAGGCAGUUUUGGUAGGCAAAUCCACCAAAAUGUUAACACAAGCUGUAAAUACAAUUCUGAGAGUAAUCGAAGAAGAGUUGGAGUACUUCAGUUUCCGAGAAAAGCGUCGCAACUAGAAAUCAGAUAAUCCGUACCUAAAACCGACACAGGUGGGUAGGUCGAGUAGACUAAGGUGGACGAGCGAAUCUUUCUUAAGGAACUAGGCAAAUUAGCUGGGCGUAAGCUAUGCGAGAUGCCCUGCCCAGGGUGUGCUUGCACAAACUGGGUCACAGCAAAUGAUUGAGGGGGGACUGUUUAUCAAAAACACAGGUCUGUGCUAAAGCGAAAGCUGAAGUAUACGGGCUGCAACCUGCCCACUGCCGGAAGGUUAAAUGAGAGAGUGAUUAAUUUUCGGAUUAUGAGCUUUUGAUUGAAGCCCCGGUGAAUGGCGGCUUUAACUAUAAGAGUCCAAAGGUAGCGAAAUUCCUUGUCACUUAAUUGGUGACGUGCACGAAUGGUUUAACCACCCUUCAACUGUCUUGAGAAAGAGCUCGGUGAAAUUGAAAUGGCUGUGAAGAUGCGGCCUACUGACAGCAGGACAAAAAGACCCUGUGCAGCUUUACUACUACUUGGCAUUGACAUACAUAUAGUAAUUGUCGAGAAUAGGAGGGAGAAAUAGAUACUUGUAUCAAUUUCGUCAGUGGAAUACCUCUCUUUUCUUUAUAUAUUUCUUACCUAAGAUGUUUGCAAACAAUAUCAGGGACACUGUCUGGAAGGUAGUUUAACUGGGGAGGUUGCUUGCUAAAGAGUAACGCAAGCGUGCAAAGGUACCCUUAUUCCCGAUGGAAAUGGGAAUACAAGCAUAUAGGUAUAUGGGUGCUUAACUGUGAGACAUACAAGUCAAGCAGAUACGAAAGUAGGCCUAAGUGAUCCUCGUGAGCUUCGUGGGAAGCUCCGGGCCUAACGGAUAAAAGCUACGCCAGGGAUAACAGAGUAGUUGCGCCUGAGCGUCCAUAGCGACGGCGCAGUUCGCUACCUCGAUAGACCUUGAACGAAUGUCGAGGAUAAAGUUGGCUAAUAACGAAGAAUGCCUUGAAAAAUGAACAAUUUAAGGUUGACCUCGUGGGAAGUCAUUAUUGACCCCGUAGAGACUGAUAUUACUUUUUAAAGUAAUUGAGAUAAUUUUUCAUUGAAUAAUUAUACAUACGCCAACUCAUUUUAUAUUUACCAAAGGGAUUAAUAAAAGGUGUGUAAAAUGAAAGAUAUAGUCCAAACCACUAGUAAUAGAUGGAGUUAUUUGGUCGGCUCAGCGCAUCCUGGGGGUGAAGAAGCUCCCAAGGGUUGGUCUGUUCGCCCAUUAAAGCGCUACGUGAGCUGGGUUCAGACCGUCGUGAGACAGGUCGGU
rnacentral:rRNA from 1 species